CCCCAGGUCUAUUUGUUAUCUAUUUUUAUCUGUAUUUCGACCUAUUUACUUUAUAUAGGCCAGGGUAGAAUAAUUUAAUUUAGUGUCUUUUCUUCUUGCAUAGGUCAGUGCUGUGUGUUUGUAGUUUCCGCUAUUUAUAACUUCUGCUAGUUUUAGUCUUUUUCUGUUAUUUGUGUUUUACUCGUAGAGGAAAAGUAGUUUUAAAAAUAGUUAACUAGCCUUAGAGUUGUUGGCACUGUUUCCAUUUCUUUGUCCCUGAUUAGUUCUACGUAUUUUUGUCUUUAGCGCUUAGGUUAGGUUAGUAGUUAUUUUUUAAUUUCAGUCUAAGUGUAAGUCUAGAAGCUGUAUAGGGUCCCUGUACGAAUUUAGAACAUAAAUAUCUUUCUUCUUCCUUUUUAUAUUUUUGUAAGAUUUAAAUUUUAAGGUUCUCUUUUUUAUGCUGUUUAAUUUGGUAUAUAAUGUUGUGUAGUCCGUGUCUUUAGUCAUUUUCUAGAUUUUAUUAUAGCGUACGGCUAGGUACAAAUUAGGGAAAUCAGUAGUCCAGUUUAGUUUUAGGUAAUUAGCGUGACGUCAUGCUCUCCGAUAUGUUCGCGCUGACCAGUUAUAGCUAGCUCCAGAACCACGUUGAGCCCUCUUUUGUCUUGACCAGUGGUCAGUGCUGACAGUGGUGCCGGUGUAGAGCUAAUUGUGUGUAGUGUAAUUUCAGCUGGGACCGCCUGCUAUCCUUACUGCAGUACUGCUGUUGUUAGUCUACUGUAGGCUGUUGUUAGUCUACUGCAGUACUGCUGUUGUUAGUCUACUGCCUGUAGGCUGUUGUUAGUCUACUGCCAUUAGUCUGCCAUCGCCUCCUUGUACCUUUCUUUUUGUUAUAUUUUAUUAAUUCUAAGCUUAGGUCUAGGGUAGUAAUAGUUAGAUAGUUGGUUUGGUUAGUCUGUUAGUGUUUGUAGAUUUAGAGGGUUUUAGUUAGUUGCUGAGUUCAGUUGUAGUGCUAGUGUAGCUCUAUAUGUUAUAUUUUAUUAUUGAUUUAUUUGUGUGUGUAAAUAAAGUUUCUUUUUGUUUUAUUUAUCCUAAAGUAAAAGUUUCGUUAUUGCUUUCUUUUAGUUAGCUAGAUUAGUUUAGUUUAGUUCAAUUGUGCUGUCUGGUUGCUUAGGCGACUCUAGCCCCUUGGUCGCAGACCGAGGUGCACAGAUUGGGCCCACCCAGUAGAGCUACCACCUGCCUACUGUUACAAAUGAAUUUAAUGUUGAGCAGCAGAAGAGAAUAGGCCACCACAGCUCGCGCCUGCCUGACCUGCUCACAUUUUUUGGUGUCAGAAGUGGGAUCUGUGCUUAAGUAAUCAGACACACAUUGUUUUCUUAGGGAUUAGGUUGUUGUUAGGUUUUUUUGAGGCUUUUGUUAGGUUGAUAUUAGUUUUAGGUUUUGAUAGCAGUAGGAAUCAGUGUUGGAGAAUUUUUUUUUGUUGUUAGUUGUUAGGAUAUGGAUCAUAUGGAUAGUCUAGUUUGUUGUUUUGAGUUUUGUUUUAUGUUGUGGUUUCCUUAUAGUCGGUAAAGUUUUUUAUUGUCAUUGAAGUGCUAGGUCUAGAAGUUGGUAGGAUGUAGUUCUAGGAAGUUGUAGUGCAUUGUGAGGUAGUUAGUAUUGUUGUUAUGGGUUAGUGUUAGGGUUGCUAGGUUAGGUUAGGUUGGCAGAAUGGCAGCAGCGGCAGGAAGGAUGCAGCGGUCCCAGGCUGAUGUGGAGGUGCCUCGGAAGAGUGAUCCGAGAGGAGACAAGUCUGCAGCUCUCCCAUGCCUGCGGAGAGGUGUCAGCCCAGUGUUGACAGAUGGCGGGAUGGCAGUUCGAGUCUUGAUGGGUCAUCGCCAAACUUGACUAUUGCUGGUGUCUGAAUGUGUGAAGCGAUACUACCAGCACUGUUUUUUUUGCAAGUAGCCAUGUACUGGCCUGACAGAGGUGCCCCACUGCCACCUCUGUGUUUUAAACAACUGGGCCAGUUUGUCCUUCCAUUUAGGACGACUGUCAGCCCAGUUGCAACGUUCAGUUUUGUGGCCAUUGCCACACCUUGAAAGGUCCCUAAGUCUGGGGGUCAGCUACUCUGUCUACAAGAUUACCUUGCCAGAUGCACCCAGCCAGCCACAGUCAACCCCUGCUCCUGCACCGGUAGGCCCAAGAAGGUCCUCCAGGACGAGGAAGACAACCUACCCGACUGGAUCUUUAGUUUUAGUUCUUUUUUGUUGUUGUAAACUUUUCUUUGUAUGGCUAUGUUUUUGCAUGUUUAGUAUUAUUUUGUUGUGUGGUAUUAAUGAUGUAUUUUGUAUAUUGAUUUUUUAUGUUUUUGUAUAUUCCAUGCUUGCUCUACUAAUGGUUUUGCAACCUAGUAGAUAUUUUGUUAGUCUUUAUUGGGCUCUCAAAAGCCAAUAUUGUGCUGGAAUGUUGUAGUUGCUGUAGUAAUAUGCUGUAUGUACGGUUUUUCUAGUCAUGUUAAUUUUCGAUGUUGCCGUCAAGGUACUCGUUAUGUUAUUUGUCUUGGAGGCCAUGACGUAGAUAAAUGUAAUACAUUUUAUUGCAGUAUUUUGUUGUUGCCUUUGGAAGGCCAUGUAAUGUCUUUUUGUGAGUAGUUUCGACUUUUUUUGCUUUGUGAUGUAGGAAGUUUUUUUACUUUUUGAAGUACUUAAGGUACUCAUUAAUGUCAUGUUAGGUUGAAUUGUCUGACAGUGGUCCUUUUAUUUUUUAUUUUCUAUGUCUCAUCACCACUGUUGGAUGCCCUGUGUUUUUGUUAUAGCACUGUAACUUCAGGUUGUGUUAUGACACUUUGGGUGUACCAUUUUUUAAUGUUUUGGUCUUUGUGACCAUUGUGAGCCUUCAGUGGCUGGCCAUAAGUCUGUGUGACUAUGGGCCUGUUGAAGCCUUGGUGGCUUUGUAUAAGUCUGUGUGACUAUGGACCUGUUUGAAGCCUUGGUGGCUUUGUAUAAGUCUGUGUGACUUUGUUUUAGCCUGUGUGGCUAAGGAACUAAGUUAAGCCUUAAAGAGUUCCUGUUAGUCUGUGUGACUAAGUUUAUCAUGUUUGGCUAGGGCGUCAUUUGCUCUAACCAUGUAGUUUUCGUUAAUUACUUUUUUUUUAUCGUUCCAUUUUUUUAAAGAUGUCAUGCACUAUAUUUUGUAUUACCUGUAUUUUUAUUGUUUUCUGUUGAAAGCUUUGCCACUUGUGAAGCCAUUUAGUACCGAGGGCUAUGGUUAUAGUUCUCCGUUCUCUUGUAUGAAUUCAUUUUUAUUUUAUUUCUGCUGUAUAUGUUUUGACUUUUUGUCUCUGUAUUUUGUGUAUUUUUAUUUUUGCGGGGACGCAAAAGUUUUGAGCGGGGGUGAAUGUGAGCGUGCGACCCCAGGUCUAUUUGUUAUCUAUUUUUAUCUGUAUUUCGACCUAUUUACUUUAUAUAGGCCAGGGUAGAAUAAUUUAAUUUAGUGUCUUUUCUUCUUGCAUAGGUCAGUGCUGUGUGUUUGUAGUUUCCGCUAUUUAUAACUUCUGCUAGUUUUAGUCUUUUUCUGUUAUUUGUGUUUUACUCGUAGAGGAAAAGUAGUUUUAAAAAUAGUUAACUAGCCUUAGAGUUGUUGGCACUGUUUCCAUUUCUUUGUCCCUGAUUAGUUCUACGUAUUUUUGUCUUUAGCGCUUAGGUUAGGUUAGUAGUUAUUUUUUAAUUUCAGUCUAAGUGUAAGUCUAGAAGCUGUAUAGGGUCCCUGUACGAAUUUAGAACAUAAAUAUCUUUCUUCUUCCUUUUUAUAUUUUUGUAAGAUUUAAAUUUUAAGGUUCUCUUUUUUAUGCUGUUUAAUUUGGUAUAUAAUGUUGUGUAGUCCGUGUCUUUAGUCAUUUUCUAGAUUUUAUUAUAGCGUACGGCUAGGUACAAAUUAGGGAAAUCAGUAGUCCAGUUUAGUUUUAGGUAAUUAGCGUGACGUCAUGCUCUCCGAUAUGUUCGCGCUGACCAGUUAUAGCUAGCUCCAGAACCACGUUGAGCCCUCUUUUGUCUUGACCAGUGGUCAGUGCUGACAGUGGUGCCGGUGUAGAGCUAAUUGUGUGUAGUGUAAUUUCAGCUGGGACCGCCUGCUAUCCUUACUGCAGUACUGCUGUUGUUAGUCUACUGUAGGCUGUUGUUAGUCUACUGCAGUACUGCUGUUGUUAGUCUACUGCCUGUAGGCUGUUGUUAGUCUACUGCCAUUAGUCUGCCAUCGCCUCCUUGUACCUUUCUUUUUGUUAUAUUUUAUUAAUUCUAAGCUUAGGUCUAGGGUAGUAAUAGUUAGAUAGUUGGUUUGGUUAGUCUGUUAGUGUUUGUAGAUUUAGAGGGUUUUAGUUAGUUGCUGAGUUCAGUUGUAGUGCUAGUGUAGCUCUAUAUGUUAUAUUUUAUUAUUGAUUUAUUUGUGUGUGUAAAUAAAGUUUCUUUUUGUUUUAUUUAUCCUAAAGUAAAA